rnacentral:ncRNA from 1 species
GUCAAGGGGCCCACCGCGAUUGCCCCGUGAGGCUUCGGCUGAAUAUCGCGUCCAAGUCCGUUUCUGAGCUGGACGCCGCCAUG